rnacentral:lncRNA from 1 species
AAUCAAAUAAAUCACUUUACAGACUUGCGGUGAUUGUGGCCGUAAUAAGAAAGGUACCAUUUAACAAAUUUCUUCAACCCGGUUUGCAGAUCCGUUGUCGGUUUAUACCCGAGUUCUCUUCGGGCCAAACUUAUGUUCGCAUGAGUAAAAGGAACGUCGCCGUUUCCGGGCAUUUCAACCAUAUGCUUUUUAGCUUUAACUUUCAAUUGCCUUUCCAAUAUCCCAACCAUCAUAGGAACAGUCACCGGCGACGUAUUACCCAAAUUAAAGAUCCGAUACUGAGCCGGGCCCCGUUUCUUCCCACCCGACCCGGUACUCUUCUUCGACGUAUCAAUAGAAGCUACACAACCCUUGACAAUAUCAUCAAUGUAGGUAAAAUCCCGGGCCAAGUCGACCCGGUUCUUGCCACGAUAAACUGUUAUCGGUUUUCUCUGCAAAAUGUUCCGGGUGAAUGA